rnacentral:rRNA from 1 species
GAUGAACGCUAGCGGCAGGCCUAAUACAUGCAAGUCGAACGGUGUCUUCGGACAUAGUGGCGCACGGGUGCGUAACACGUAUGCAACCUACCUUACAUUGGGGGAUAGCCUUUCGAAAGGGAGCUUAAUACCGCAUAAGACAGUAGCUGGGCAUCCAGCAGCUGUUAAAGAUUUAUCGAUGUAAGCUGGGCAUGCGUCCAAUUAGCUAGUUGGUGAGGUAACGGCUCACCAAGGCAAUGAUUGGUAGGGGAACUGAGAGGUCAAUCCCCCACACCGGCACUGAGAUACGGGCCAGACUCCUACGGGAGGCAGCAGUAGGGAAUAUUGGGCAAUGGACGCAAGUCUGACCCAGCCAUGGCGCGUGCAGGAUGAAGGCGUUAUGCGUUGUAAACUGCUUUUAUACAGGAAGAAACGACUCUUGCGAGAGGCAUUGACGGUACUGUAUGAAUAAGCACCGGCUAACUCCGUGCCAGCCGCCGCCGUAAAAC